GAAGAAUCCCUCUUUUCCCCUUGCUCCUCCAGCAGCACAAUGUGAUCCACUGGCAAGGAGGGAUGCCAAUAAGGUGUCCAAUAAGACUUUUUUGAUGAUUCAGUCUACAUGAAAGCACAGACCAGAAGGCAAAAACAUCCAACACAUCCUCCAGGAAAAAAGAAGGUACAAGAACAAAUUCAUGGCAGUUUCAUCUAUUUUCCUACUCUGGACCAGUUAUGAGUCAGAAAUCAUCAAUAGAAAUGCGCAAUCCCCACCACAGUGAAAAUGGGCACAGCAGUCACUCCUCAUCUGUUAUAUGUGCUAAUCCUGUUAAAACAUGCAAUACUAUUUACUACUUCAAAUAAAAUCAUCAGAGCAUGUGUUCAAGCCUACACCUCUAGAGGAAGCCUCUUCUUCUCCCACAGGUGAGGUCAGCACCCUGACCUUCAGGUUGUUUCCAGAUUCUGACCAUUAUAAAUGAAGCUGCCAUGAACGAACCUGAGCAGUGAGGCGAUAUCUUGUUUGUACUCUAAGCUUGCCUGAAGAUCAGAAGGUGGAGCUAGCCACUAGUUCCAUAGUGGUUGGAAGUCUGCAGAUAGACAGCAAGUGAUAUGACUGGGCAGAGAGGGGACUAUAAGACAGGAGAAGCUACAGUCACAUUCUUUUUGACUGAAAAGGUGGUGAGGUCAAUGUCCCUGAACAAGCAUAUCUUCAUGUAUACUCCAGGAAGAAACAAUCACAGGGAGCUUGGUAUCUAAUUAGAAACGAUGCUGAGUGGCCCACAUUACUUUGGUCAACAAUGGAUCCUUUCUUUUAUUUUGCAUCUUAAACUAUGACUGAAAAACUCCUCUUUUGACUAAACUGAGGACACAUAGACUGAAAACUCCUAACAUAAAAUAUGCUUUUCAAUAAGUGUUUUUAAAUAUAUGACACCUGCCUUACUGUGUGUUGCUUAUUUAUUUAACUUGAUGCCCAACCACUACUAGCUAUUUCAUUCAUAUGCUACAGAAGAAAUGAUUUCUUUUUUCUAUGUUCCAAACACCAGAUAUUGGGAAAUUGGAAAGGUAGAUAAGAGAGAAGUUAAACCCAUUUGCUCCAUUAUAGCCUUUUAAGAAUUUCUAGGUUAGGUGAAAUAAUGAUAUCCGAACAAAGUCAACUACAUUCUUUAGAGUGAGGUACCAGAGCUGAGAGUCUUCAUAAAAGUGCCAUAGCUUGGCAGCACUUUUAGGCACAGAGGACACUGGGAAGAAGAAGGAUGGAGUCAGAGACAUGGAGGAAGACAGAGAGAUGGAGGAAGCCAAACAUGCAGAAGAGAUAAAAGCCAUGAGCCAUACAACAUCACAUAGAUUAAUAUAAAUGUGCAAAUUCAAGUUAUAAUAGCUAUUUAGAAAGAAGCCUGAACUAUUGGCCAAGUUUUCAUAAUUAAUAAGAAGUCUCCUUGUUGUGAUUUGGGAGCUGGCUGCCAGUACAGAGACUCAUAACAUAUUAUGAAUGAAAUUUUCAUGAACAAAAGUAUACAUUUGAGUGGCUAUAUAUUUAAAAAUAUUAUCUUUCUAAAGAAACUAGUAAAAAAAAUGAAAAGCUGUUUGGUAAGAAAGGCAGAGGAACAAGGGAUUUGCCAUGAAAUUUUGUCUUCUAGAAAUGCCAUAGCUACACUCAAAAGUCUCACCACCAUGAUUCCUUAAUCAUGACCUGAACAAGGAAAACAACAAAGUGGAUUGGGAGUACAAUGGAAAAGAGAACAUGAGGAGGACUCAACUCUAAAGAAAGAAUUAUAGGCAACUAAGGAAUGCUGAGAGUGGGAGAAAUAGACUUCCUCAGGAAAGAGCACUAGUUGAUUAGCUAAUGGUCUACCCUGAAAACAUACACCAGAGUAACAAUAUGCAUUAUGAGUAGUGGGAUAGUCAACAGUCUUGUAUCACAAAUGAUUUCAAUGAAGUUGCUUUUGCUGGUUAUCUCCAUUUAGGAUAACACUGGCUCUGGGUUUCUCCGAUAUAAGUUUUGUUAUAUUGAGGUGCACUCCCUCUCAUCCUAUUUUCUCUAGGAUGUUUUGUUAUCAUUUCCAGCUUUGCCAGGAUCCCAAGGCUACACAUUCAGCCAUCAGCAUUCAGGCAAAAUGUCUAGUCACCCCAGGGCCUUAUGUAAUCUAUACCCAUGUGUGGAGCGCCCAUGUCCUUGCUCUGAGCAACCUUGAAAAGCAGACACACCUACCUCACUCCCUCUCUCACCAUGUUUCUUCGAGACAGGCCUGCAUACACACCCUCUUCCCCUUUACUACUAAAACUCUUAAAGUGGGUUUUGUUGUAUAUCUCGUGGCUGUUCUAGAGCACUGUAAAUAAUACUUUUAUUGUGAAGACAUGUUUAAUUUGGUCAAAGGACUUUUCUGCAUCUAUUGGAAUGAUCAUGAGAUUUUUGUCUUUAUGUCAGUUUAUGUGAUUAAUUUCAUUUCUUGAACCAUGUUUGUCUCAUGGAUAAAGGCAAACUUAUCCAAAAUGACUAUUUUGGAUAAUCAUUUUGAUAUAUUU
ensembl:lncRNA